AAAUAAAAAAUCAAAUCAAAUCAAAACAAAAAAUAGAGUGAAAAAAAAAAAGGGGUCGGAUUGUGUAAGCGGAUCAUGCGCGGAUCCAAGACGAGUUCACUCGGGUCCUGGAUCGGUUCAGAAACAAACCACGGGUCUUAAAUGGGUCAAAGGAACUAGGUUCCUUAGCAUCCAAUGCUACGCCAUUUUACCUUUGUAUUUAACCAAAAAAUCAGACUACUUCCUCCAUUUUCCCAUUUUUAGUUUCUUUCCCUAACCCUAAAAACUCUCUCUUCUCUCUAAUAUGCUCUUCUUUCAAACCCAGAAAUCAACUAGUCUUUUUCCAGAAUCUAGUGCGCCUUCGCCAUUGUCACCGUUAUGGGUAUUCGGUAACCGUCUCCGCUGAGCCUCUUACUGGAUCGAAAUUUCAACCACCAAAUGAGACCGUUGUUCCCUUCUCUCUACAAACCGGAGCCAGAGACUUCGAUGCUUUCCAAGAAUCCAUGCUUUUCCGUCACUUUCACCACCGCAGGUUUUCAGUAAUGGCCUCUGCCGACCUUCGUCCUUCUGUUUAGUUUUUUGCCCGAAACCCAACUUUUGCAAACAAGUUCAAACCAAAACCCGAAAUCAAAGACACUGUUUGAAUUUUCUUGCAACUUUUAUUCUGUUGUAUAACUGCUUCUAUUCUAUAUUGUGCUUGAUGAUUGCAUGCUGAUCAAUAUCUGAUUAAGGCUCACGGUUUGCUGGGAUUUCUAUUUGACACUUCUGGGUUACUGACUAAUUCUAGAUCUUCCUUAACCAAGAAUUCCUUGGCCUUGCUUAGGCUGCUUGGUGUUCUAGAAAUUGAUUGGAAGCUGUUGAUUACUCUAUGUUGUGCCGAUUACUUCUUAAUGGUGUUCUGUUUUGAUGAUGAUGGUGAUUAGGUGCCAGAUGUGGAGGCUUAGUGCGUGCUGGUAAUUUAGUUGAUGGAUGGCCUCUUCCAAUUUUUUGUGUGCUGGUGGUUUAUAAAGGGAUUUAAUACCUUUCAAUCUGAAAAAUCAAUCAACCAAUUUGUGUUGAAUGUGAUUUGAUUUGAUUUAAUUUUAAUGUUAAUUGAUUAUAAAAUUAAAUCCCAAACAUCUCUCAAAAUCAUCUUCACCCGAUUUCAUUAAAACUUUUCUUUUUUUAACUUUUUUUUAGAAAAAAGUAAAAUUAGACAAAAAAUUAAGUUAAAAAUAAAAAAUUUCAAUUGGGCUUAAAGCUUCUCAAGCGGAUUCAAUUUAUGGCCAAAGUUUGGUUUUGAUUUUGAAAAAAUUUUCGAAUAAAAUGGGGCAUUUAUAGUUGUUCAUUUUGUAUGUUUUGUAAAAUAGAAAUUACACAAAAAUGUAGACAAUCAUUAUGUUUGGUUGAACUUAGCGAUCUUGUAAACAAAGGUAAAUAAAUUUAAAUUAAGAAAUGAGUUUAUCUAAAUAGAGAUUAAACAAUUUUAAAAUGAA